rnacentral:rRNA from 1 species
GGAUUGUAGGCUGAAACUCGCCUACAUGAAGCUGGAAUUGCUAGUAAUCACAGGUCAGCAUACUGUGGUGAAUACGUUCCCGGGCCUUGUACACACCGCCCGUCACACCAUGAGAGUUGAGAAUACCCGAAGCCUGUGAGCUAACAGUAAUGAAGCAGCAGUCGAAGGUAGAAUCAAUGAUUGGGGUGAAGUCGUAACAAGGUACC